rnacentral:rRNA from 1 species
AACGAACGCUGGCGGCGUGCCUAACACAUGCAAGUCGUGCGAGAAAGUUCCUUCGGGAGCGAGUAAAGCGGCGCACGGGUGAGUAACACGUAGGUAACCUGCCCCCCAGUCUGGAACAACUAGAGGAAACUCUAGCUAAUGCCGGAUGAGACCACGAUCCCUUCGGGGGUUGCGGCCAAAGACGGCCUCUACUUGUAAGCUAUCGCUGAGGGAUGGGCCUGCGGGCCAUUAGCUUGUUGGUGAGGUAACGGCUCACCAAGGCUGUGAUGGCUAGCUGGUCUGAGAGGAUGACCAGCCACACUGGGACUGAGACACGGCCCAGACUCCUACGGGAGGCAGCAGUGGGGAAUAUUGCGCAAUGGGCGAAAGCCUGACGCAGCGACGCCGCGUGGGUGAUGAAGGCCU